rnacentral:rRNA from 1 species
GACGAACGCUGGCGGCAGGCCUAACACAUGCAAGUCGAACGAGUGGCGGACGGGUGAGCAAUGUCUGGGAAACUGCCUGAUGUAGGCGGAUAACUACUGGAAACGGUAGCUAAUGCCGCAUACCAUCCGUUGUGCCCUGAUGGGAUUAGCUAGUAGGUGGGGUAAAGGCUCAUCUAGGCGACGCUCCCUAGCUGGUCUGAGAGGAUGAGCAGCCACACUGGGACUGAGACACGGUCCAGACUCCUACGGGAGGCAGCAGUAGGGAAUAUUGCACAAUGGGCGCAAGCCUGAUGCAGCAAUGCCGCGUGUAUGAAGAAGGUCUUCGGGUUGUAAAGUACUUUCAGCGGAGAAGCGUUACCUGCAGAGGAAGCAACGGCUAACUCCGUGCCAGCAGCCGCGGUAAUUC